rnacentral:rRNA from 1 species
AUUGUACGCUGGCGGCAGGCCUAACACAUGCAAGUCGAGCGGAACGGCGGACGGGUGAGUAAUGCCUAGGAAUCUGCCUGGUAGUGGGGGAUAACGUCCGGACACGGGCGCUAAUACCGCAUCCUCUCAGAUGAGCCUAGGUCGGAUUAGCUAGUUGGUGGGGUAAAGGCCUACCAAGGCGACGAUACGUAACUGUUCUGAGAGGAUGAUCAGUCACACUGGAACUGAGAAACGGGCCAGACUCCUACGGGAGGAAGCAGUGGGGAAUAUUGGACAAUGGACGAAAGCCUGAUCCAGCCAUGCCGCGUGUGUGAAGAAGGUCAUCGAAUUGUAAAGAACUUUAAGUUGAGAGGCGUUACCAGCAGAAUAAGCACCGGCUAACUUCGUGCCAGCAGCCGCGGUAAUUC